GGAGGAAAGCAGGGGAUCGCAAGACCUCGCGUUAUUGGAGCGGCCGAUGCCGGAUUAGCUAGUUGGUGAGGUAAAGGCUCACCAAGGCGACGAUCCGUAGCUGGUCUGAGAGGACGACCAGCCACACUGGGACUGAGACACGGCCCAGACUCCUACGGGAGGCAGCAGUGGGGAAUUUUGGACAAUGGGGGCAACCCUGAUCCAGCCAUGCCGCGUGAGUGAAGAAGGCCUUCGGGUUGUAAAGCUCUUUCGCAAGGAAAGAAAACCUAUCCGCUAAUACCGGGUGGGGAUGACGGUACCUUGAUAAGAAGCACCGGCUAACUACGUGCCAGCAGCCGCGGUAAUACGUAGGGUGCGAGCGUUAAUCGGAAUUACUGGGCGUAAAGCGUGCGCAGGCGGUUUCGUAAGCCAGAUGUGAAAUCCCCGGGCUCAACCUGGGAACUGCGUUUGAAACUACAAAGCUAG
rnacentral:rRNA from 1 species